rnacentral:rRNA from 1 species
GACGAACGCUGGCGGCGUGCUUAACACAUGCAAGUCGAACGGAAAGGCCCUUCGGGGUACUCGAGUGGCGAACGGGUGAGUAACACGUGGGUGAUCUGCCCUGCACUUUGGGAUAAGCCUGGGAAACUGGGUCUAAUACCGAAUAGGACCGCGCGCUUCAUGGUGUGUGGUGGAAAGCGUUUGCGGUGUGGGAUGGGCCCGCGGGCUAUCAGCUUGUUGGUGGGGUAAUGGCCUACCAAGGCGACGACGGGUAGCCGGCCUGAGAGGGUGAACGGCCACACUGGGACUAAGAUACGGCCCAGACUCCUACGGGAGGCAACAGUGGGAAAUAUUGCGCAAUGGGCGCAAGCGUGAUGCAGAGACGCCGCGUGAGGGAUGACGGCCUUCGAGUUGUGAACCUAUUUCACCAGGGACGAAGCGGAAGUGACGGUACCUGGAGAAGAAGCACCGGCCAACUACGUG